UAACAUUCAAGAUCCUUUAAGGAUGACUGAAAAACUACAACACAAUACUAUUCAGAUAGAAACAGCAACAGUUCUAUGUUGUUACAGAAUUACAAGCAAGUGGUUACACAAACUGAACAAGCUUUCUUCCUCUAAACUACACGUUGGUUAGCUCGAACGAGCUCUGGGAAAACACAACAUACCUAACCCUCUCUCUGUAACACAUCAUGAAAAGCAUGACAUACAACACUAGUUCUAAACCCCUAUUAUGAACUGUCCUUAGUGGACAUAUUGUACAUUAUUGAAAAGUUCAUUCACUUGCGUUCUUCUGAGACUUGGGCAGUGACCGAGCUAGCCUGACCAUCAGCACCCGAAGGGUCAGUUUCAGAGUUGUCUUGUUUGUUUCCUCCACGUGCAUCACCGGCACCUGAAGUUGUAAGCUGGCUAACAUUACUUGUAACACCAAGAAUGGAGUGCAUUCCACUGUUGGCACCUCCAAGUUGCAUACCUUGCUGCUGGCGCUGUAGUUGUUGAUGUUGAAGCUGCUGCUGAUCGUGUAGUUGCUGGGGGUUGUUGAACUGCAGUGGCAUCUUUGAAGUAAACAUACCCUGUUGUUGAGUCAUCGCUGCAGCUUGAGGGUGCUGCAUGUAAAAUCCUCCUUGUUGCAUUGCAGGAUGAGGAGCCAUUUGCGUUGGAAUAGCUGGUGAUUGUGGUUGAGCAUCAGCAAUAGCGGCCAAGUACAUCAAGUUCUUCUGAAGUUUAGCCUGGUACUGUGCACAUUCAGCUAGUUUCCCAAGAUUUUGAUGGUCCAAUAUGGCCAAAAUCAAUGUCUUGUUCUCGUCUAGGUACUUUUGAAUCUGCUCAGUAGUGAUAUUAGCAGAAGGAAAAGAUGGCAUCAUCGAUGGUGGUUGCUGCAUCCUUGUAAACUGCAAAAUCCUGCUCUUGAUUAUUGUUCUUUCAGAAACCCUAGUUUUUCUAAUUGAAGAACAAAAAGGGGGGAAAUCCCCAAUUUUUGAGAGUUGGGUUAGGUGGAAGAGAAGUGUGCGGCGGGUUCCGG
rnacentral:misc_RNA from 1 species